CGAUGAUGUUUUUUUAUGUUGGAAUCCAGGUUCUAUAUUUUGGCAAGGAUGGGCCAGAGGUGAUGUGCUUAAUUAAGUACAUUGUAGCAGGAGGAACAGUUACCAACCUCUGCCAGGACUGGUGAUUCUACAUCGAGCUCUUGCUGGAGAAGGAGCCUGCAAGCCCUGCUCUCUCUCUUGGUGGGAGAGAGAUAUUUUGGGCCACUUGUUCCAGUUCUCAAGUGCAUGUCACCAUUUAGAAGAUAAGUCUCCAUCAGGUGAGAAUUGCUGAGGCCAUGCCCAGCCUGGGGACUUUUAAUCAGCUGAAUUGGCCAGAGAUACUGUCCAGUGCAGAGACAGCACCACGGCUGAGGAUGGCCGGACCAUUACAAAAGGAACCCACAGAGAAGUAGAGGCACCAGCCAAAAGCAAUGUUAACCACAAUCACUGUGAUUGCUAUUUUUGGUUGUCAACUUGACUACAUCUGGAAUCAACUAAAACCCAAUGGCUUGGCACAACUGUGAGGGACUUUUUUUUCUUAAGUAAAUCCUUUGAGCUCUGGAUCUUUGAGGUGGGAAGAUACACCUUUAAUGGAGGUCACACUUUCU
rnacentral:lncRNA from 1 species